CUUUACUGUAACUUGGAAUUGAAAUUGGACUUUAUUUGCGCAGUAUAGGUGGGAGGCGUUGAUACUAUUCUUGCGGGAAUAGAGGAGCCAUCAGUGAGAUACCACUCUUGUAAUGUUAGAUUUCUAACUUUGAAUCAUUAUCUGGUCAAAGAACAGUUUCAGGCGGGCAGUUUGACUGGGGCGGUCGCCUCCUAAAUGGUAACGGAGGCGCACAAAGGUUUCCUCUGAACGGGUAGAAAUCGUAUCUAGAGUGUAAAGGCAUAAGGAAGCUUGACUGUGAGACCUACAAGUCGAGCAGGGACGAAAGUCGGUCUUAGUGAUCUGACGGUGCUGAGUGGAAAGGCCGUCACUCAACGGAUAAAAGUUA
rnacentral:rRNA from 1 species